rnacentral:misc_RNA from 1 species
AAGUCGUAACAAGGUAACCGUAGGUGAACCUGCGGUUGGAUCAUUACAAAGAUUCAAAGCGGUAGCGUCCUUCACUGGAGCCGCCCGCAACUCACUUUAUGUGAGUUAAACAUUUUGUGAACUGUACCUGUCUCUGGCAGCGGGGUGGCUUGAAAACCCACCAGUCAAGUGUAAGAAAUUACACCGUGGACAACGCUGCCAGCCACUUGUCAUACAUAUUUUUUAGUCUUACUCUUGUAUUUUUACAAUACAAAAAAACAACUUUUGGCAACGGAUCUCUUGGCUCUC